UGAUAGGCUUUCUAGAAGAUUAUAGGUUUGGAUUCGGCUCUACGUUGUCGCUAAGAGUGAACCGCUUCUUUCUUUGACAGAAAUGGUCUGUGGAGAGGAAAGGAGAGGUGAAAAACCAAAGUGACAAGGAAUGUGAAAAAGAGGGAAGGAAAGCUUGUAAUUCCUGUCGGGUCCAAAAACAGAGACAAAGGUGGUCUGUGGAAGACUGAGCGGUGACCCCACCAUUGAAGUUCAUUUACAUAAUGGUGUAGACGUUUGGAAGAAAGGACCGGACAGUAUGCGGGGCAUCACUGCCAAAUCAUGGUGGUCUACUCUAGUCUGAUCAGGGAAUGGGACUUUUUCAUGCAAAUCAGCUUGCCAGAGCCCUGCGUCUGACCACAAGACCAUAAGGAAACCGCCACUCACCAAUACAAGCACAAAGGCAGGGGUCGUGACUGGUCACCCGUCCAGACGGACCUGACGUCCAGCUCAUACACUCACACAUCCCUGCACAGCUGGGCCCAUUUCCCUGGAAGCUUGACCUUUGACCCCUGACCUUGAACUUGAGCCUGGCCUCAUUUUCCGAGCGCGGUCUGACCGCCGCGUGACACCGCAGAUGACCCUCUCUGGGUUUCGGAAAGGGUGUAGUGGUAAUGGCAUUGAUUAGCAGGGUCUGGUGCCAAUAUAUUUCUCUCUGAAGCCGUUUUGAUAGAUGAGGCCUCGUCUAAACAGAUGAGCGUCUGGCUGAAGAGGCAGGUGCGACGUGAAGUUAAUGUU
ensembl:lncRNA